rnacentral:sRNA from 1 species
AUCUUUACUGUCACGCCACACCCGGUCUUGAAUCCCGCCUCUGCCGGCCAGUCACCCCUAAGGUACAGGCCGGGACUUCAUUAUGUUAAAUCCAUAAAUACUUAUACCGGAAAUCAGUUUUCCGCCCUG